AUGUAUAAUGAAUAGCCUAACAAACAAAAUGUAUUAUUUCAUUCCUUUAUUAAGUCAUUUAUUACACUGCAAGUUCUUUAACUGCAUCAGAAAAGUUUCUGGAUAAAAAUAAUUUAAUGUCAUGGUGCGACAUUGGGCUGCUUUUCAGUAAAUCCAUACAUUGCAGAACCUGCCCAACACUAAAACAAUAAUUUUUUUAUUCAAGAAACUUCUAGUCAAAAUUCUUAUUUUGCCUGGAAAUUGAGUUUGUUUUGUUUACCGAAAGGGAAAAAAUUCUCUUUUAAAUACCCUUCUCAUCUAUGAGAACAUACACAAUGGCCAACACUGAAAUACUAAAAAAACUGUCUUUCUUUAAAAAACACGAUGAAUCCCACAUUUUUUCUGGGUUUGAAUCCAACUCUUAGUCAAAAGAAAAUAUAGAAAUAAAAAACACUGACAGUACAAACAGAGAACAGAUGUUUACAUUUAAACAUAUGCCAUUCAGCAGUUAAAAAAAUGAUUCAGACACCAACAUAUCAAAAGCAUAUUACUGGCAUAUGGUGUCUGACAUGCUUCUGCAAAUGAAUACAUACACUGGCUUUGAUGACAACCAUGCAAAUUGUAUCUUUCCACAUGAACAGUUUAUCAGGGAACAGUCAGAUUUGUGCCUGUACACGAACAUGUAUUUUGGAUUUCUUCUGGAUGACACACCACGUUGUAACCAUACAGUAUGUCAAAUCAGGAGAAUGUGUGUCAAAUCAUCCUCCCUCUUGUUUCCUUUGAGACCCAGGGUAAGACUUUAAAGCAUGUGAGACCCAGCAAGCAGGUCUGCUUGGCAACAAGGGCCAUCUGGCAGCUGUGCUGCUCAGGACUGCAUUACAGCUCCAGGAAACACUCCUCCUUCUGGGACAGCGACCUUGUCUCCAAAAGAAGGGCCAGGGCAGAGAACCCUCUAAAACAGCCGGACAACACAGUGGCAAGUUUCAGCCAGCCACAUCAGGAUGAGAAAAUGGCAAAAAAAGGAGCCCUGAGUGUGAAACUAGCCUUGAGACUUCUCUAAUUCCUAAAUGGGAAUGGCUGUUUGUCUUGCUGACACGAGUCGUAAGAAAUCUGAGGAGAGUGCAAACAACAUCAAGAGCAGGGCAGGACCUUCUUCCAAGCCCAGCCUGUGUUGGCACAUGAAGGAGGAGGCACAGACAUCUCUGGUGACCCAAGGAAUUGCUUAAUGUGGUUCCCUAGAGAAGUGUCAGCAAGUGCAUGGACAAGAACUGGCCAACAGUUCCAACAGACCCUGCUGGCCUGGCACACCAGGGGAAAAGUGAGGAAUGAUUCAAGCUGGAUCUGUUUUCCAUACCCGUUGGCCUCCUGGCAGAUGCACAGGAAUAACCAUUCGUAACUACCAGAAAGAAUAUAAUUUUGCUACAGAUGCUGUAAAUCACACAUGUGACUUCUCUGUCUUUGUUAUGGAGAGGCAAUAGAAUUUUCUGCGUUUUAACAACAAGUUGAUUUCAAAAUCUCCAGUUACAAAAAUACAGAAAAAUGUAUUCAUCAGCAGAUUUAUGUUUGGAAAAGAACAGCAUUUUAAUUACAUAGAUACCGUAACUCCCCACUUUUAUGGAGAUGUGAUUACUGCAAUUUCUUCAUUAGGUAAUAGCUUCACUAUUUAAGGAAACAUUAUUUAAAAGGCAUGGUGUUAUCUAGUUAUUCUACACUGUUAAAACCCCAGCAAAAUGUAGGCAAACACUUGAAUACUUUCCUCCUAGCAACCAAGGUCUCUCACAUCAGAAAAGCAGCAUAUUUGUCUUUUUUCUGUACCUUAUAUUAACCCACAUUUCUAGUUUGUGACCCUUUGGCCAGUCAAUAUCAUCAAGUUCCUGGAAUAUAAUUUUAGGCAAAAGCCUAAACCAGUGACUAAAUCAUCUCUUUGUUCAGUUUCUAAAACAAUUUAAUUUUUUUUUCCCCAAAAUACCACACAAGUAACAAGAGUGCCCUCAGCUUUAAUGUUACAGGAAAACCAUCUACCAAACUACCCAAAAUUACUUUGGAACAAAAUUCCACAUUGGAUACAUCCAAAUCCCUAUGUGAAUGUCUCCGUCAGCACUACUUGCAUGUAACAGGGACACAUUUUCAGACUUUUGCAUGUCCACUGGCAGAAAUAUCACAAAAUUAAUUUUUGGCACUAAACUUCUUUACAUUUACUAACCUGCUGCAUGACUUAACUCUUCAAAUUACAGCAGCAUUUCACAAAGUGCUGAGUUUCUGCAAUUCCCACUACAGUGAGUAUAAAACACAGAUACUGAGUACUCCCCUGGGAUUUAGCUCUGUCUUUCAAGGCUGUGAUAACGGUGCUGUUUUUGCUGAAGAAAUUAAGGUUUCAGAUCUCUUAAGGUCUUUGUGGAAUCUGGGAUCCAAAAAACCCCAAACGAACCAGAAAAUACACUACCAGAAUCCUCUCAUUCUUUCCAUCCUUCUUUCCUUACAUAAAGGUAGGUCCUCCUUUCUUUCUUUUCUUAUCUAAGGGAGAUCUAUGGUCUCCUUGCUAACUCUUCAAGAAAAACAGAGGAGCAACAGGGAAAUCUGUCUUCCAUGGAAAAGAUGAAAGAUACAGCUAAGUGAGAGGAUGUGUCCUUCCCGACACGGUGUGGUCAAAGAGACAGCUCCCCGUGACUUUUCCCAGAAGAGUUCACAGAAAAGUGUCCAGAAAAGUCCCUGUUCUCCCCAGCAGCUCUGUGAACAGCAGGAUAUACUGCAGCACUCUGGGCUGCUGCUGCCAUGUCAUUUCAGUGCCUGCGAGGUCAGCUGAGAGCGUUAAAUUAACACUGUUCCCAGGCAAAGCAAAACGUCUGGGAACAGGAUGGCACAGCAUAAUAAUGGGGAACGAGGGGCAGAUCCACACCUACAUGCUAAAGGAUGGGAAGGAGUGGGGGACAUUGAUGUGAGUCUGAUUUAUGUGACUUAGUGCCAAAUGUAUGUUAUCACACAGAUCUCCCAGCAGAUUAUGUGUCUCUUCACCCCCACUGAACAUUUUCAUAGCUUAUUUCAGUAUUUUUGCCUUUGUUUCACCCAUAAUAAUUUAUUUAUGAGCUUAGGAUUAUUAACAAUUUGAGGCUUCAUUAUAAACCAUCCCGAGGGAAUCUCACCUGCCUCAUCCCAUUACAUUAUUAUUCCCAAAUAUGUAAUUUAUAUUUAAUAAGACAUCAAUUGAACAUCAAUAAAAUAAUAAUGAAUUAAUAAAAUAUAGCUUCC
rnacentral:lncRNA from 1 species